UAGGGAAUAUUGGACAAUGGGUGAGAGCCUGAUCCAGCCAUGCCGCGUGCAGGAAGAAGGCGUUAUGCGUUGUAAACUGCUUUUUGCCAGGGGAUAAAAGACCGUGCGCGGUUAAUUGAAGGUACCUGGUGAAUAAGCCACGGCUAACUACGUGCCAGCAGCCGCGGUAAUACGUAGGUGGCAAGCGUUGUCCGGAUUUAUUGGGUUUAAAGGGUGCGUAGGUGGCCCUGUAAGUCAGUGGUGAAAUAUCUCAGCUUAACUGAGAGGGUGCCAUUGAUACUGCAGGGCUUGAGUACAGAUGAGGUAGGCGGAAUUGACGGUGUAGCGGUGAAAUGCAUAGAUAUCGUCAAGAACACCGAUAGCGAAGGCAGCUUACCAAGCUGUAACUGACACUGAGGCACGAAAGUGUGGGGAUCAAACAGGAUUAGAUACCCCCGUAGUCCCUGAGCGGGCUGGCAAGGCGCAU
rnacentral:rRNA from 1 species